rnacentral:misc_RNA from 1 species
UGGUUCUGGCAUNGAUGAAGAACGCAGCGAAACGCGAUAAGUAAUGCGAAUUGCAGAAUAAGUGAGUCAUCGAAUUUUUGAACGCACAUUGCGCCCUUUGGCAUUCCGAGGGGCAUACCUGUUCGAGCGUCAUUCACAACCAUCAAGCCUGGCUUGCCGUUGAAUCCUCACCCGUAAUAGGGUGGGUUCGAAAGAUAGUGGCGGGGUGGACGAACCCUAGAUGCAACGAGCUUUGUUAAAGCACGCAUUGAUGUGGCCGACCACCUCUGGACCUUUAACUAUCACUUUUCUUAAGGUUGACCUCGGAUCAGGUAGGACUACCCGCUGA